CUCAGCUUGCAGACAGCCGACUGUGGGACCUUGUGAUCAUAAUACCACAGUCUGGAGGCUAUGAAGUCCAUGAUUAAGAAGCCAGCACGUUUGCUUUCUGGUUCCAAGAUGGCAUACCUUUUUGCUGCUUCCUCCAGAGAGGAGGAACACUGUGUUCUCACAUAGUAGAAGAUGGAAGGAGCAGAUGCAGAUGAGCAUGGCAAUGUGAGAAUAUGUCAGAGGCCCCAGGAUGAAAUGAGCUCAAGUCCCUGAAAUCCCUGUUAGAAGAGUCUUUCCACUGGUUGGGAAUGCUAAUUGUAUUUUGACAACUCAAUGUUUCAGCAACUCAAAAUGUUACAGCUUCUGCAUUGGAAUAAAAAAAGGAAAGAAAACAGAAUUUGUACUCAUAUCAGAAGGCAAUCAAAGAACAUACACAUAAUAUACAUUCUAUUAUAGAGGAGAAGAAAUGCUUACUGCCAAUACCAUGACAGAUAACAAAUUAUCAGGCAUGUAUCUUAGCAUGCAGAGAAGGGACUGAAUGAAUAUGCCCAAAGAUGUGUAACACUCAUUGUCUCUGGGGAGAUGAAGAAGAAGUAUGGAAGAAGUAAGAUGAAGAAG
rnacentral:lncRNA from 1 species